GCACCCUUAGCUCAGUUGGUAGAGCAACUGACUCUUAAUCAGUGGGUCUAGGGUUCUAAUCCCUAAGGGUGUA
rnacentral:tRNA from 1 species